GACGAACGCUGGCGGCGUGCUUAACACAUGCAAGUCGAGCGGUAAGGCCCUUUCGGGGGUACACGAGCGGCGAACGGGUGAGUAACACGUGGGUGACCUGCCCUCAGCUCUGGGAUAAGCCUGGGAAACUGGGUCUAAUACUGGAUAUGACUCCACGGUGCAUGUCGUGGGGUGGAAAGCCUUGUGCGGCUGAGGAUGGGCCCGCGGCCUAUCAGCUUGUUGGUGGGGUGANGGCCUACCAAGGCGACGACGGGUAGCCGGCCUGAGAGGGCGACCGGCCACACUGGGACUGAGACACGGCCCAGACUCCUACGGGAGGCAGCAGUGGGGAAUCUUGCGCAAAUGGGCGAAAGCCUGACGCAGCGACGCCGCGUGAGGGAUGACGGCCU
rnacentral:rRNA from 1 species